GACAGAGGGUGCAAACGUUGUUCGGAAUUACUGGGCGUAAAGCGUGUGUAGGCGGCAAUGUAAGUCGGAUGUGAAAGCCCUGGGCUCAACCCGGGAAGUGCACUCGAUACUACUUUGCUAGAGUCUCGGAGAGGUUGGUGGAAUUCUCGGUGUAGAGGUGAAAUUCGUAGAUAUCGGGAGGAACACCUGUGGCGAAGGCGGCCAACUGGACGAAGACUGACGCUGAGACACGAAAGCGUGGGGAGCAAACAGG
rnacentral:rRNA from 1 species